GACGAACGCUGGCGGCGUGCUUAACACAUGCAAGUCGAACGGUGAAGCACCUUCCUUUUGGUGGGUGUGGAUGAGUGGCGAACGGGUGAGUAACACGUGAGUAACCUGCCCCCUUCUUCUGGAUAACCGCAUGAAAGUGUGGCUAAUACGGGAUAUUCUGUGCCUGCUGCAUGGUGGGUGUGGGAAAGAUGCGCUUUUGGGUGUUUUUGGUGUGGGAUGGGCUCGCGGCCUAUCAGCUUGUGGGUGGGGUGAUGGCAUACCAAGGCGGUGACGGGUAGCCGGGAUGGGAGGGUGGAGGGUCACAGUGGGAGUGGGAAACGGACCAGACUCCUAGGGGAGGCAGCAGAGGGGAAUAUUGCAAAAUGGGCGGGAGCGUGAUGGAGCGACGACGAGUGAGAGAUGGAGGCCUUCGGGUUGAAAACCUAUUGCGGGAGUGAAGAAGGACUGUCGCUUGUGGGUGGGUUGACGGUAGCUGGAUAAGAAGCGACGGCUAACUACGUG
rnacentral:rRNA from 1 species